rnacentral:misc_RNA from 1 species
UGCGGCUGGAUCCCCUCCUUUAAGAGCGUGCAUCCGACGUUAGGCGUCCACACUUAUCGGUUUGUUUGAUGUUACAGCCAAGGGUCUGUAGCUCAGGUGGUUAGAGCACCGUCUUGAUAAGGCGGGGGUCGUAGGUUCAAGUCCUACCAGACCCACCAAGUUACGGACGGUGGAAGAUGUUCUCUGCCGUGACUGGGGGAU